rnacentral:rRNA from 1 species
UGGGGAAUAUUGGACAAUGGGGGGAACCCUGAUCCAGCCAUGCCGCGUGUGUGAAGAAGGCCUUAUGGUUGUAAAGCACUUUAAGCGAGGAGGAGGGUACUGGUAUUAAUACUACCAGCUACUGGACGUUACUCGCAGAAUAAGCACCGGCUAACUCUGUGCCAGCAGCCGCGGUAAUACAGAGGGUGCGAGCGUUAAUCGGAUUUACUGGGCGUAACGCGUGCGUAGGCGGCUAAUUGAGUCGGAUGUGAAAUCCCCGAGCUUAACUUGGGAAGUGCAUUCGAUACUGGUUAGCUAGAGUGUGGGAGAGGAUGGUAGAAUUCCAGGUGUAGCGGAGAAAUGCGUAGAGAUCUGGAGGAAUACCGAUGGCGAAGGCAGCCAUCUGGCCUAACACUGACGCUGAGGUACGAAAGCAUGGGGGGCAAACAGG